AAAGAAUGUAAAUUCGCUAUAAGAUGGGCCUUAGGAAGAUUAGGUAGUUGGUAGGAAAAAGCCUACCAAGCCGAAGAUCUUUAGCUGAUUUGAGAGGAUGAUCGGCCACAUUGGGACUGAGACACGGCCCAAACUCCCUUGGGAGGCAGCAGUGAGGAAUAUUGGACAAUGGACGAAAGUCUGAUCCAGCAAUGUUGCGUGAGUGAAGAAGGCUAUUUAGGUUGUAAAACUCUUUCAGUGGAAAAGAUAAUGACUUUCCGCAAAAGAAGUCCCGGCUAACUCCGUGCCAGCAGCCGCGGUAAUACGGGGGGGGCUAGCGUUAUUCGGAAUGAUUGGGCGUAAAGGGUCCGUAGGCGGUUUUUUAAGUUAGUUCUAUAACUUUAUGGGCUUAACCUGAAAAGUGAACUGAGACAAAAAAACUACGAGUUUGAGAGGGGAUAGUGGAAUUCCUAGUGUAAGGAUAAAAUCUCUAGAUAUUAGGAGGAACUUCAGUAGGCGAAGGCGACUAUCUGGCUCAAAACUGACGCUGAGGGACGAAAGUAUGGGUAUCAAAUGGGAUUAGAGACCCCAGUAGUCCAUACCGUAAACGAUGAGUGUUUUGGAUUCGGGUCCGAAAAAUUUAAUAGCCAGUAAUUUCAUGUAAAUUAGAGGCGGACAAGUGCCAAGGUUGAUUACCUAUAUACGGUAUCUUUUCCUUAAUGAUUAGGUUUGAUCAGGUAAUUUUGAGAAAAAAUAUAACCAUUCUUAUUGCUAGACAAUUAUAGGAUUCCGAGUACAAAAAUUAUAUAUUUUUAAUAAGCUAACGCGUUAAACACUCCGCCUGGGGAGUACAGUCGCAAGACCGAAACUCAAAGGAAUUGACGGGGGCUCACACAAGCGGUGGAGUAUGUGGUUUAAUUCGAUAAUACGCGCAAAACCUUACCAGUUCUUGACAUCUAUUAUUGUAUUUGAAAUUAAAGUUUCAAAAUAUUAAAAUAGACAGGUAUUGCAUGGCUGUCGUCAGCUCGUGUCGUGAGAUGUUUGGUUAAGUCCUGUAACGAGCGAAACCCCUAAAAUUAAAGUUUAUAUUUGGAUUCAAUUGCAGAAUUUAUUAUAAAUUUAAUUUUUACUGCCGAUGAUAAAUCGGAGGAA
rnacentral:rRNA from 1 species